UACAGAGGUCUCAAGCGUUGUUCGGAUUCAUUGGGCGUAAAGGGUGCGUAGGCGGCGCGGUAAGUCGGGUGUGAAAUCUUGGAGCUUAACUCCGAAACUGCAUUCGAUACUGCGGUGCUUGAGGACUGGAGAGGAGACUGGAAUUCAUGGUGUAGCAGUGAAAUGCGUAGAGAUCAUGAGGAAGACCAGUGGCGAAGGCGAGUCUCUGGACGACUCCUGACACUGAGGCACGAAAGCUGGGGGAGCAAACAGG
rnacentral:rRNA from 1 species